UUCUCUUAGCUCAACACCUUGGCCAGAUGUUGCCAAGGAAAAUCAUGCUUAAGUGGAAUAGCUGGAAUCCUGCAUGCUCUGAUUCUUCAUAGUACUUGGUGUCUGUGGAUUGUCUACAAUUGUCCUCUGCAGGAAGCUGGAAUGUGGAGACUGCUGACAGAUUCAACAAAGUGGAGUUGGUGGCAACUUAGUGUCGCUUGGUCCUGUGGAACGUCUGAAAAUCUCGUAGGAUCUGUUUGGAGCUGGGGAACGGUUCCCUUUGGGACCAGAGCAAAACAAUGUGAGUUGUAA
ensembl:lincRNA